rnacentral:rRNA from 1 species
UACGUAGGGGGCAAGCGUUGUCCGGAUUUAUUGGGCGUAAAGAGUGCGUAGGCGGUUCCGUAAGUUUGUUGUGAAAUCUCCCGGCUUAACUGGGAGGGUGCGGCGAAGACUGCGGAGCUGGAGUAUGGGAGAGGCAGGCGGAAUUCCUGGUGUAGCGGUGAAAUGCGUAGAUAUCAGGAGGAACACCGGUGGUGUAGACGGCUUGCUGGACCAUGACUGACGCUGAGGCACGAAAGCGUGGGGAGCAAACAGG